AGAACAUUUCCAUAGUUUUUCUGCAUUGUUUUAAUUUCUUUUACACAUAUUUAAUUACUAUAAUUAUUUUUGAUAUCUGGGAUACAUACGACCUGUCCUGUGUAUGUGGAUGAGAGUAAAACGCAUUUGGAUUGAGACAUGGAGCAGCUCUUUUUUCUUCUCAUUCACGUAUUUGCUUCUUCAUCCUUAAUCUCAGCAGGAAAUGACACGAGCAUACAAACUACGUUACCUCCAAACACAAAUGCUACUUCUCCAUGUUCUGCUGAUUCAAGAACAGAAGUCCAAACUGAAAAAACAACGACUUCUACUUUUUCAUCUCAAUAUGAGAAUAACAUGACCAGCCACACAUCAAAAACUGUGAGCACAACCACAGCUCCUGUAUCUUCUAGCCACACAGUGGGUGUUUCUGUACUUGCAAACACUUCAACAACAGCUAAUUCAAACAUCAGCAUGUCAGAGGGGACGCCAACACCUUCACAGGCACCAGACAGCAGCCUCACUUCGCUCGCCUUUGGUGUGAUGAGUCUUAUACUCAUUUUAAUUGUUGUCAUGGUGGUCUUGGUGACUGCUAUCAACCUCAGGGGACGGUGUAGAGACAUCAAACAACACAAGAGUAUUAAAAGCUGUGAUUCUGUGGUGUCUGACAGCAACAUGACCAGCAACUGUGAGAAAGAGAGCAUCACUCUUGUCUCUGUGAGGACAAUAAACACAGAAAACAAUACAGAUUCUCCCCAGAUGUCUUCGGUUCACAGCACUAUACUGGACAAUGAGGACCAAGAAUUUAGCAGAGACUUGCUGUUCAUCAAUGAUGGACUGUGAUUUCACUCAGUUCAUAGUGCAUGAGAUUGGAGGCUGCAUACUAUAUUUAUAAUGUUAAAUGAAUGUGAACUAAUGUGCCUCUAGCUGAUGGUCAGUGUACAGAUCACACAUCAUGCUUAUGGCCUACAUUGGUGCACUGCAUAUAAAAUGAUCCCUAUAUCAGACAUGCUCUCGUAUAUUGAACAUGACACAUACUUCAUUGAUAAAUAAAAUGUCACUUUUGUGUUGAUAUUCUUUUUCA
ensembl:lncRNA